AGGGAAACAUAAUCAUAACAGGGAUGGACUGUGGUUGGGCAGUGGGGAGGAAAUAGCACACAUCAAGUCAGACGUCAGCCUUGGAAUGAGCUUUAUUCUGUAUUUUACCUUCACCAGGGAGAAGAAAGCAAUGAAGCUGGAGGGCAGAGCAGCCUGCACCACACAGACACAAAUCACAUCUCUAAAGAAUGUAUGUGAAAUUUUAGGGCCCAGAGCAGACCAGCCAUCAAGCACAAAGAUCAAUCAGGACCCCAGACAUCCCAUCUCAUCUGUCCUUAUUGGAUGUUUUGAUUCAAUCAUUUAUAUACUUCUGUUUCAUUUUUAAAAGCACAAGUAACAUUCCAAUGUCCAGUCAUUUGCUGUUCUUCUUUAGGAUGCACAGACGAAGUGACCCGAUUUUUUAUUUCUGUAACACCACCAGCCUCUUCUUGGUAUCCGUGGUGGUGGUGGUGGUCAGUGCAAAGUCCAUCAAAAGUCAGCUUGUUUUGAGGCUUGAGUGAAAGGCUGAAGCUCUGAAUGAUGAAUGGAAGCAUCCUUGGCUGUUACACACUCAGGGCUGGAAGAGUUCGUGCCCCACAGGAGCUGAACAACUGCACUAUUCCUACAGUUGAAACCUCCUACUAGACUGCUGAGAACAAUACUUAUUCACAGAGAUUGAUGAAAUACAGAGAGAAAUGUCUUCAGAGACAACAGACCCAGUCCUGGAAUACUGAAGAAGCCAGGAGGCAAGAACAGGUGCACACAAAGGAGGCAGCACUGGACCAGCAGCAGCAACAAGAGCCGGCUCUGAUCAGAGGACAGAAGAGGAAGGAAGCACCCACCAGGCCCUAGAGAUGAUCCUGAAAGUACUGUGGUCUAAUCCCUAUUGUUACAGGAUCCAGGCUCCCAGUGGUAGAAGUUGUCAUGGAGAGAACAAUGGCAUUGCGGUUAGAGGAUGCUGUGGUGGAAGAAUGGCCCACUAUAGGUGAUGGUAGCCAGAGAAGCACACGCCUGUCCAGGCUCUGAGGAGUGCCCUGAGGACGUGUCACAUCUGGCCAACUUCCGCUGUCUGGGGUAGAAUGGGAAAAGCUGGUGGACAAACUGUGGAGGUUUCAUGAUUCACCUUGAGUUUGGAGAAGUAGCCUCUUCUGGGGCCAUAUGUGGUUCCAUGUUAUUGAGUGAAAAUAGAAUCUACUGUGAGAGGAAAGAGAAUCCAUCUGCUUCAUGACCAGGUUGAGGAGGGUGGCUUCAGAGAAAUCACUUCUGCUUUGGCAGGUAUUCUUGGCAUGGGGGAGGUUGCACAGGGGGGCACUUCUGCUGGCUGGGGGGUGGUAG